UGGGUUAGCUGGGUGAGGAGAGGGUUGGAGUUUGUUUUUUGUGCUGUGAAGGAAUUGUUGGUUGUGAAGAAGAAGGAGUCCAUACUUUGAAGUGUUGCCCAUGAGAAAUCACUGUGAUGGUGAACUUCAAGACAAACAUCAUCCCAAAUUGAGUGUUUGGCAGCAAAUAAUGAAUAUAAAUGUGCUUCAAUGGAAGAAAGGCAGUUAUGGAAUUAAAAGCUCUCCUCACCUCCCCUUGGCUGCCCAGGGAGCUCCCUCCUGCUUGAUCUCCCUCCAUGUGUGGAUGCAAUGAACUGCUGGUGACAUGAGGUGUCUGUCUCGGGUGUGAUGACCUGCAGUGACUGGCAGACAAGUGUGCUCUGGGAGGAGCAUUUCACCCUCCUGUCCAGAUAUAUCCUGGCUGCUCCCCCUUCACCAAGUAAACACAGGUAGCCUGUUCAUUCCAGUGAAGAUUUAAGCCUUGGAGAAUGACUGGAGCUAAGCAACAGCUUCCCCAUGGCACAGCCAAACUUCUCAGCAAGUGUGGCAACCCUACUUUGAGUCAUGUUCACCUGCAAAGGCCCCUAGAUGAGGAUCCAAAAGCUCCAUCAGUGCUGAUCAGCUGCCCCAUGUAACCAAUGAAUGCUGCAAGAGGAAGAGGGCAGGUUCUGUUGGAGCCUGGGGAAAAAAGGACUGCCAGACUGUGAUCUGAAGAUGGAGCUGAGCCAGCUGGUGUCCAAUGCAAUGAUCAAAUGAGUGCUAAGUUGCUGAAGAUGGUUUUUGGUCUUGACUUCUUCCAAAGGCCUUGGCUUUCCUGAUACGCUGAGAGGUCAUGAAAAGAUGGCAGUUAUGAAUAGAAUCUUUGUGAAGAGAAGAAGCAAAAAGAGAAGAGCUGUUCUAAAGCUGGGAGCAGGAAAGGGCUGUUGAAAGGAAUGUGAUCACCAAGACACCAUGAAGGAAAAUGUGGCAAGUUGAUAAGGAGAAUGUCCAUGCAGGAGCUGUGCUGAAUGCAGAAGACAAAGCCAGCUAUGAGAUGAGUUUGUUCCAUGUUGGGAAAGUGCUAAAACUGCUGGCAGAAGGGCGAAAGGCAGAAGAAACAUGCAUUUUAUAGCACUUGGAAUAGAUUGGGAAGCAAAACUGAGAAGGUGUCUGAAUAAUUCUGAAUCAGCAGGUAGAGAAAAUGAAGCAAGUGGAAAAGAAGGGUAACAAAUUUUCCCUUCAUUCAAGUUAAUUUUGAAACAAGGCUGUUGUGCAGGAUAACAAAAAAUACUUAACAGCAAAGGAAGAGAUAUAGAAAAUUUUAAGUCAGGAAUUGGCAAGGGAAAUGGGCCCCUGAAUUUCUAGAGACACCUUCAGUGGGUGCCAGAUAUUUAACUACAGAAAAAACCUGGGAGAUGUGUUUUGUAUUUAACAUGCAUGAGGUAGAAUUGGCUGCUGUAGAUGAAAAGUGAUGGGAGACCUUAAAGUAAGGUGCUAACUGGAACCAGUUUUACUGUGCCAGUGGGUACAUUGGUAGAUGACUCUUAUUAAACUCUGUCCCUGGUUAGCUCAUGUGUGAGAUGAACUCUGGGAGACAGGGGCCAAAUUAGGGGGCAGCUGAGGGGCUGGAGGCCCUCUGGCAAAG